AUGGGCACCUUCGGAAGGAAGAUAGUGGCCACAAAGACAACGAAAAAGUCACUGGAGUCAACGCUAGGCUCUAACUUGUUAUGAAGAGUGGAAAGUAUGUGCUGGGGUACAAGUAGACUCUGAAGAUGAUCAGAGAAGGCAAAGUGAAAUUGGUCAUCCUCGCCAAUAACUGCCAGAUUUGAGGAAAUCUGAAAUAAGAGUACUUACUAUGCCAUGUUAGCCAAAACUGGUGUCCAUCAUUACAGUGGCAAUAAUAUUGCACUGGGCACGGCAUGCAGAAAAUACCGCAAAGUAUGCACACUGGCUACCAUUGAAGCAGGUGACUCUGGUAUCAUAAGAAGCAAGCCAGAACAGACUGGUGAAAUGUAAAUCAUGCAAAAUUUUUCUUUAAUAAAACUUGCCAGAGCUUGAUAUGUAAAAAAAAAAAAAAAAGACAAAAAACCCUCAAAGACUUUGGGAAACUAUCAAGUGUACUAAUAUACACAUUAAAAGAAGAGAAAAAGAACAUUUUUUUGAGACAGAAUCUCACUCUGUUGCCCAGGCUAGAGUGCUGUGGCAUU